GUAUGGUAGAGUAUUUGUGAUACUUCAGGGCAGUCAUGGCCGAAAGCAGCGACGAACAGAGGGAAAAAUCGAGGAUUUCGACGAUGUUGACGUUCUUAAUAUGUCAUUCUGUGAAAUGAAAUAUGUAUGUAUUUUACCUGAUUAAAUAUCAUGUAGAUCAUUGACGCGUUUUAUAAUGCAAUUCAUAACAAGCAGUCGUAACACAAUGAUAUCGAUCUCUAUGAACAGGACACGUUUGAAUAACGCCAUAUGUUGACAAUUAAUAUGUUGUGCUCAUCGUUCGACUGCAGCGAUGUGGAUACUCCCAAUAUAUCGUUUUCUGAAAUGGACUUGGUAUGUAGAUUUUUGUGGUAAUGGAGAUUCUACAUGCAGACAUUGUGUU